rnacentral:rRNA from 1 species
UAAUGUAUGGGGAUCUGCCCGAUAGAGGGGGAUAACUACUGGAAACGGUGGCUAAUACCGCAUAAUGUCUACGGACCAAAGCAGGGGCUCUUCGGACCUUGCACUAUCGGAUGACCCAUAUGGGAUUGCUAGUAGGUGGGGUAAAGGCUCACCUAGGCGACGAUCUCUAGCUGGUCUGAGAGGAUGAUCAGCCACACUGGGACUGAGACACGGCCCAG